CCUACGGGGGGCUGCAGCUAAGAAUAUUCCGCAAUGGACGAAAGUCUGACGGAGCGACGCCGCGUGGAUGACGAAGGCCGAAAGGUUGUAAAGUCCUUUUGUCGAUGAAGAAUAAGUGUGGGAGGGAAUGCCCGCAUGAUGACGUUAGUCGGCGAAUAAGCCCCGGCUAAUUACGUGCCAGCAGCCGCGGUAACACGUAAGGGGCAAGCGUUGUUCGGAAUUAUUGGGCGUAAAGGGUACGUAGGCGGUUUGGUAAGCCCGGCGUGAAAUCCUGCAGCUUAACUGUAGAGCUGCGCUGGGAACUGCGAAACUUGAGUCAUGGAAGGGGAGUUAGAAUUCCAGGUGUAGGGGUGAAAUCUGUAGAUAUCUGGAAGAAUACCGGUGGCGAAGGCGAACUCCUGGCCAAUGACUGACGCUGAGGUACGAAAGUGCGGGGAGCAAACAGGAUUAGAUACCCUAGUAGUC
rnacentral:rRNA from 1 species